UGUAUCUUAUCCAUUUACUCGUGUAUCCAAUCUCCCGCCCACUCGCUCUCCCCUCUUCACAACGUAAAAAAACCCUCUCCCACCACACACCAUGGAGCCAAAACCCAUAAAAACAGAGGAAGCGACCAGAAAGAAUAAUAGGAAAUCAAGUCCUCACACAACCGAACCAGCAAGAACGAAGAAAAAAUCAAGGCCCGAACGAAUCGCUGCUUCCAUAUCCACCCUAUUCACUACAAAAAGAGCGACAACGAGCCAUUGAUUACAUCGAUUAAGUCAGGUUUCCUCAAUUAAAUCAUAGGGAGUAACUGUUAAAAGGAGAAUUUAUUGACAGAACUAAGGAGCUUGUUGCAUUAUCUGGAGCUCAUACUCUCGGAAGCAAAGGUUUUGGAAAUCCCGUUGUUUUUGACAAUUCGUAAUACAAAAUUCUCCUAGAGAAGCCAUGGUUGUCUUCAGGUGCUUCACAAGUUUCUUUCUUUUGCCAUCUUGUUUUAAAUCCCAUCCAAUCAUUCCAAGUGAUUUACCAAAUAAGCAGAUGGUUCAUGUCUCCAAGCAACUGCUCAUAACCAAUACCGUCUCAGAGAGAGAUUUCUUAAAAUUAUAGCUAAAAGUGUUGGAGUUAGGUCUGAAUCCAGAAAGGGAAAAUGGCACUUGUAGUUCCAUGUCCCACUAUUGUUUUAAAGGGUUUGCAACACCCCCCUUUCCCAUGAGUAACUUGCUAACUUUCUUAUUAUUGGAUUUAACUCAAGGGAAUGUUCAGGAGCUUUUGAUGCUCCUUUAGGAUGUCAUGGUUCAUUUCUAUCUAGAGGUUCCAAACAGUGUUGGUUUAUCAUAGCAUCUAGACAUUUGCAAUUUAAUUCAGCAACCACAUGGAGAUGCUUCAUUUGACAGAGCAACAAAUAUGCUGGCAGUUUGAAAAUAGCUUAAUGCUAAUACCAUUUUGUGUAUUUUUGAUAGCAUUAUGUUAAACCAAUUUUCCACUGCAAAUUCAUUAUACAGUUUAUAUAAUCGUCAUCAAGCUUCUUCUUGUCAUCAUGUCUAAUUAUAACAAGUAAUUUAUAUGUUAAUUUUAUAUAAUUUUUAUUUGCCAUGGUAGUUCGUAAUAUGGCUACAACAAGGACUCAACGUCAACGCGAACAACAAAAUUUAGGUUUAUUUUGGACAAUGGUCAUACAAGCGAUUAUGAUAUAUAAUGAUAUUAAGCAUUGUGAACAACAUCUCCCUAGAGCUCCACUUACCAAUUGGGAUUCCGAAAGAGAGAUGCCACUUUUAAGAAUGUCUGGCACGAGUGAUACGAUAUGUCAUGAUCUACUUAGGAUGAAAAUAGGUCCGUUUCAAAGAUAAUGUGCUCAUUUGCGAACGUACGGGUUGGUUGAUAGUAAAUUUGUCCGAAUUUAGGAACAACUGGCUAUUUUUCUAAAUACCGUCAGGCAUGAUCAAUGUAAUUGAGCUGGACAUUUUACUUUCUUUCGAUCUAGUCAAACGGUGAGCUUUUACUUCCACAGAGUCUUACACGUUUGUCUUCGACUCUAUAGAGAUGUCGUGAUUAACGUCACUCCUCAUAACUCUCUAUACGAGAAGGAAAAUGUGAAGCCAUAGUACUCAUUUUUUCAGGUUUGAGGUUUGUAUUUAUUUCAUUAUAUCUCUUAGAACUUCAAUAUUAUAAUAUUUCGAAAACUAUUCUUUU